rnacentral:rRNA from 2 species
UGGUCAGUUUGCGGUGGUGCUUGCAUCACCAAUUACCGAUCAAACCGAGUGGCGGACGGGUGAGUAACACGUGGGUAACCUGCCCUUCAGCAGGGGAUAACAUUUGGAAACAGAUGCUAAUACCGUAUAACCACGGAGACCGCAUGGUCUCCGGGUAAAAGAUGGCGCAAGCUAUCACUGAAGGAUGGACCCGCGGCGUAUUAGCCAGUUGGUGGGGUAACGGCCUACCAAAGCGAUGAUACGUAGCCGACCUGAGAGGGUAAUCGGCCACAUUGGGACUGAGACACGGCCCAAACUCCUACGGGAGGCAGCAGUAGGGAAUCUUCCACAAUGGACGCAAGUCUGAUGGAGCAACGCCGCGUGAGUGAAGAAGGCUUUCGGGUCGUAAAACUCUGUUAUUGAAGAAGAACGUGUGUGACAGUAACUGGUCAUGCAGUGACGGUAUUCAAUCAGAAAGUCACGGCUAACUACGUGCCAGCAGCCGCGGUAAUACGUAGGUGGCAAGCGUUGUCCGGAUUUAUUGGGCGUAAAGCGAGUGCAGGCGGUCUUUUAAGUCUGAUGUGAAAGCCUUCGGCUUAACCGAAGAAGGGCAUCGGAAACUGGGAGACUUGAGUGCAGAAGAGGAGAGUGGAACUCCAUGUGUAGCGGUGAAAUGCGUAGAUAUAUGGAAGAACACCAGUGGCGAAAGCGGCUCUCUGGUCUGUAACUGACGCUGACGCUCGAAAGCGUGGGUAGCAAACAGGAUUAGAUACCCUGGUAGUCCACGC